rnacentral:lncRNA from 1 species
AUGGGUCCAUGUUUAUGAUGGCAUGUGACAAACAAUCAAAGCCCACAACAUUUAAUUGGAGAUUGAAGAAGAAACAAUGCUUUUCAUAUUCUGUAACACUAACUUGAAGUUAGUAACUUCAAUUCUUUUUUUUCUUUCUUUCUUGUUACCUUUUCAGUACUGUGUCCUGAUGAGUGCCCAUAACUUCUCUUGUCUUUUUUUAUCUCAGUUCCCACAUGAUUAAAGAAUAUAAUUACCAUGAAGUUUUGUUGUAAGACAUUCCUAUAAUUUUUACUAAAGCGUGUUAGGGGGAUAAGUGAAGAAGACGCUUUUGGACACUAUUAUAUAAAUAACCUGUCUGCAAUGCCGCAAUGUGGAGCUUUCUUCACCAACAAUAAUCAUUUCUCUUCAUUGAAUGAGAAUAAGUCCUCU